rnacentral:rRNA from 1 species
AGCAGCCGCGGUAAUUCCAGCUCCAAUAGCGUAUAUUAAAGUUGUUGCAGUUAAAAAGCUCGUAGUUGAAUUUCGGGGUCAGUAGGUUGGUCGUGCCAAUGGUAUGUACUGGCUUUACUGAUUCCUCCUUCUUGAAGAACUGUAAUGUCAUUAAUUUGGUGUUGCAGGGAAACAGGACUGUUACUUUGAAAAAAUUAGAGUGUUUAAAGCAGGCUAACGCUUGAAUACAUUAGCAUGGAAUAAUGAAAUAGGACGUUCGAUCCUAUUUUGUUGGUUUCUAGGAUUGACGUAAUGAUUAAUAGGGAUAGUUGGGGGCAUUAGUAUUCAAUUGUCAGAGGUGAAAUUCUUGGAUUUAUUGAAGACUAACUACUGCGAAAGCAUUUGCCAAGGAUGUUUUCGUUAAUCAAGAACGAAAGUUAGGGGAUCGAAGACGAUCAGAUACCGUCGUAGUCUUAACCAUAAACUAUGCCGACUAGGGAUCGGAUGAUGUUAAUUUUUUAAUGACUCA